CCUUAGUAAUCAGCCCUUCCUUUUUCUUUGUUUAAAGCAAGAGGAAAGCACGGAAGGGAGGAAAGGAAGGAUGGAAGGGAUGUGGGGUUUGGAGCAGAGGAGUGCAGCGAGCAUUGCCAAGAGGACUUCUUAUUUGCAAAUCCACCGUGAGAAGGAUAUUGCAAGCAUGGAGAGCAGAAGAAGCACGGAGUUACAGCUGAGCUCUUCCCAGGUUUAAGGUUCUCCAAAUAAGUCAGCCAUCUGUCACCUGACUUGACAUUUCAUCAAAAUGAUAGUCACUUCUUGGAAGCCACUGCUAAGUAUAUCAAUCACCAGGAAGUAUGGUACAAUAACAAUACUCGUCUUUGAAUAAACACGCCAGAAGUUAUGUGUUCCUGACCAGCAGCACACUUUAAGAAGGAAUAACUUAUUCCAGUCAUUGCUCAGAAUCUCUGUGAAAACCUUCUUUUGAAAUUGCCUUUGGAAACUGAAUCUCUUGAAUGGUGACAAAUCUUUUCCUGUCAACAGUAGAUUCUGUUUACAAAAGCACCUAACAGAAGUUUAGAGCCAGAGCUGGGGUGACGGAGCUGAGUUCAGGUGCUGGUGCCAACGGGAGCGGGGCGCGUCUGGCGUGGGGGUGACACCCACACAGGCUGUUCAUGACCGGUGUCCAUUCUGACUGGUCAGUGCUUGUGCCAUCUCAGUUAUAAAAAUAAUUUGACUCUCACCCCUCCUAGGAGGCUUGAUAACCCUCACAUUUCCAUUAGCCAUCCCCAAAGUACCCCCAAAAUUAUGCCAAAAUUAAGCAAAAAACAACUGCUAGUUGAACUGUUGACUUGUGUGUCACAUAAAAGCACUCUUGGGUUUAAGGGCUGUGCUUUACUGUUCCAGUUCACACCGAAAGUACUUUUCUUAAGAAUACCCUUUUUAAAGAAAUUGAUUUGUACAGCUUAAAACAAAUGCAAAGGUCAAUCACUCAAGUGACUGUUGAACGCAUUUAAAAGUCCAGAGAUUCUUUUUGUUCAGAUCGAUGAGCAAAGGAUGAGAUUGAAAGCGGAAGAGUUAAAUUCAGAUCCAGAAAGAGAUUCCUUGUGGAUUUGAAUUCUGGGGAGUUUCUUCAAAUGUUGCUCCAUGUGCUGAGUUAACACCGGGUCUCAGAAAAGUAUGCAGGGCGUGACGGAGAAUCAAGGAGAAAAAGAAUGAAACAUUUUUAAAUAGCAGUUUAAUGACAUGAAGGGCCACCUGCAUGCUCCUCAGCGAUCCACAGGGAAAUAAGGGGCCCUGGGGCUGGGAGCUGCCACAAAGGAAUGGCAGAAGGUCACGGGAGCAAGACUGCAGGCUGCUGGUCCACUGUGGGCAUGGCUGGCCCGGGCCACACUGGUUUGAGAAGCCAAUGAGGCCAGUGAAAAUGAUGGCCCAGUAAAUAAGAGAGCUCAGAGUGCCCAAAAAUCCACAUUUGUUUUGUAAAAUGCAUUCUUCUGCUAACGAUCAACCUGAAUCUUCGGGAUAUAGUGCUCCAAAGCAAUGUAGAUAGGCGAUUUUCUGUAUUACAACACACACAAAAAUGUAGUAUAAAUGCAUAAUUUGUUUUAUUUUACAGCACAUGUAUUUCAUGGCAUCAAUUUGGCACAGCGGCUUCAUAUGCCAAACUGGGCUGGAACAAUAGCACAGCAGUGUCUUCGUGGUGGGAGUGGGGGGUAGGCAGGGAGUCUCGUGUAUCCUGUUAUGCGUGGGAGUGCUAAAUGAGACUACCCAGGUUCAAAUCCUGGCUCUGUUAGCUGUGACCUUUAGCAAAUUACUUACCCUGGACUCAAUUUCCUCAUCUGUCAAAUAGGAAUAAUAAACAAUUCCUACUUCAUGGGUUUGCUGUGAAGAUUAAAAUGAAAGAAAGCAUGUGAAGAACAUGGCUAUUAUUUUAGCUGCUGUUGUUAAAAGAUAUUGGUCAUUAGCACAUUAUGAAUCUUCUAAAUACAAUCUCUGUACAAUUCUGGCAUACAGAGAGACAAUGAAAAUAACAAUAACAAAAUAAAUUGUCUUUAUUCCACAGAAAUACUAGGCUAGGUCUGGAAAGGUACAUGAAUACGACAAUGGUGGGUGGUGAUCUUUCUAAAAGCAUUGUCGAGAUCACUCUUCUAAGCAUCAUAGUAUAAUCACGCACAGUAUGAGGACUUUUAUCUUUCACAGUAGGAGUACCAGCCAUUUCUCUUUCCUAAGAUAAUUCCUUUAAUUCUUAGUUCUCUCGGGUUCUAAGAACUGUGUCAGAACAAUGUCAGAGGCUGGUCCUUUGUUACCAACUCUCUUCCCUCAUGUGGCAUUAUUGUUUGCAAUUCUUCUCUGCUCCCUCUUCCUGUGAACUUUGCCAUGUGACUUUGCAGUCCCUCCCAGCCAGCAGCCAAGUCCAUUUCCUACACUGUGGAUAUUGGGUUUGGCCCUAUGAUUCAGUCAGGCCAGUGGCAUGUGAGUGGAUGUGAUACAAGCGAAGACUUGAAGUGUGCAUUUGGGUUUGUCCUCUUGCAUUCAGUACUUUUGUCAUUGCCAUGAGAAAAACAUGUCCCAGCCAGCCUGCUGGCCCAAAAAAUGUAAAGCAGACCUGGAUCCAACCUUCAGCUGGGAGCCAAACCCAGUCAAGUGCAGGCUAGACCGACCAACCUGCAGGCACAUGAGUGAUAACAUCCUUACUGUUAACUGAGUAUUGGAGGGGUUUGUUACACAGCAAAAGCUAACUGAUAAACUUCCAACCCUUUCCCCUUUGGUGUACUAUAGAUAAAGCUUUAAAAAAAUAAUCCACAAAUACAUAUAGAUUUAGAUAUAUGUGAAGUAAUAUAUAAAUUUAUAUAAAUUG